GAUGAACGCUGGCGGCGUGCCUAAUACAUGCAAGUCGAGCGAACAGACGAGGAGCUUGCUCCUCUGACGUUAGCGGCGGACGGGUGAGUAACACGUGGAUAACCUACCUAUAAGACUGGGAUAACUUCGGGAAACCGGAGCUAAUACCGGAUAAUAUAUUGAACCGCAUGGUUCAAUAGUGAAAGACGGUUUUGCUGUCACUUAUAGAUGUAUCCGCGCCGCAUUAGCUAGUUGGUAAGGUAACGGCUUACCAAGGCAACGAUGCGUAGCCGACCUGAGAGGGUGAUCGGACACACUGGAACUGAGACACGGUCCAGACUCCUACGGGAGGCAGCAGAAGGGAAUCUUCCGCAAUGGGAGAAAGCCUGACGGAGCAACGCCGCGUGAGUGAUGAAGGUCUUCGGAUCGUAAAACUCUGUUAUGAGGGAAGAACAAAUGUGUAAGUAACUAUGCACGUCUUGACGGUACCUAAUCAGAAAGCCACGGCUAACUACGUG
rnacentral:rRNA from 1 species